AUUGGCAUUCGUUAUAAGAAAAAGAGAAAAGGAGAGGCAAGGGAGGAGGACCGCCGGCAACGGCAGAACGCCGCUACUGGAGGAAAGGCUGGAAAAGACGAUUAGGGUUUUUUUUUUUUUGAGAGAGUUUCGUAUCUAGAUCAGUUGAAGAUAAGUUGGAAUCCACUGUAUUCGUCUGUGUCUGCAAUUAGAGGCGUAACUUUUGGUUCCAGCACAAUCGUCGCAAUUCGCCGCCAUUAGAGAGACUGAGGUGCAGUCGGUGUGACGAUUCCAUUUGUUGGUUUUGAUCAGGUUCUUUCACCUUCUUUCGAUCAAUCGGAAUGAGGUUAGCUUAGCUCCUCUUCAAACCAUCGUUGUCGAUUUUCAUGGCCAAAUAAGAGGAGAUCGAGAAGAACAAGUGGGAGGUUUGGAGAAGGAUUUAAGCUCAGCUUUGUUGUGUCGAAGAAGAGACCGGGCGAUUGGAUCUUCACACUAUGUUUCUUUGUUGAGGGAAGAAGUCGAAAAAGAUUUAACAGCUCCCGUUGGGAAAAAAACACCUCCUGGAAGACAAAAGAAGAGACCAAAAACUGUUCAGAAGCAAAUAAUCAGAGGACAUAACACAGGCUCUUAUGACCCCCCUGACGCUGAGGAAACAUGAUCAAAGUCGUAAAAAAGGAAGGACAAUUAGCAUCUUGUCCAUUUUUUGUGAAUGGAAAAUGUAAUCUCCAUGGCAAUGUCGUCCCCAUGUACUUUGAAUCUUCUCUUUGUUUUUAAUAAAGAGGCGAGUGGUGUUUAUAUUAG